UUUUGCCGUUGUUUAAUUUAUUUAUUUUAGUAAUACAGUUGACAAAACAAUGUCACCUGAAAAUAAAAUUAAGGAAGCUGGUGACAAGCACAUCACAUCUAAGAAAAACCCUGUUUACUACAAUGUGAUGGAGACGGGUUUAGAUUGACAGAUUACUAAAGAGACAGACAAAAACGAGUAUGAGAAGAUUAAUUCCCUUCAUGUUUCAGAACACGAGUAUGGGCAUAUUACGGUUGGUGUUUAAAGUACCGGUAAGUCAUGAAA